CCUACGGGAGGCAGCAGUGGGGAAUAUUGGACAAUGGGGGAAACCCUGAUCCAGCGACGCCGCGUGAGUGAAGAAGUAUUUCGGUACGUAAAGCUCUAUCAGCAGGAAAGAAAAUGACGGUACCUGACUAAGAAGCCCCGGCUAACUACGUGCCAGCAGCCGCGGUAAUACGUAGGGGGCAAGCGUUCUCCGGAUUUACUGGGUGUAAAGGGAGCGUAGACGGCAGCGCAAGUCUGGCGUGAAAUGCCGGGGGCCAACCCCGGAACUGCUCGGGAAACUGUGAAGCUGGAGUGCAGGAGAGGUAAGUGGAAUUCCUGGUGUAGCGGUGAAAUGCGUAGAUAGCAGGAGGAACACCGGCGGCGAAGGCGGCUUACUGGACUGUAACUGACGUUGAGGCUCGAAGGCGUGGGGAGCAAACAGGAUUAGAUACCCCUGUAGUC
rnacentral:rRNA from 1 species